CCCAGACUCCUCGGGAGGCAGCAGUGGGGAAUAUUGGGCAAUGGGCGCAAGCCUGACCCAGCAACGCCGCGUGAAGGAAGAAGGCCCUCGGGUUGUAAACUUCUUUUAUCAAGGACGAAACAAAUGACGGUACUUGAUGAAUAAGCCACGGCUAACUACGUGCCAGCAGCCGCGGUAAUACGUAGGUGGCAAGCGUUAUCCGGAUUUACUGGGCGUAAAGGGAGCGCAGGCGGCGCGCCAAGUCUGAUGUGAAACCCCGGGGCUCAACCCCGGGCAUGCAUUGGAAACUGGCGGGCUGGAGUGCCGGAGAGGUAAGCGGAAUUCCUAGUGUAGCGGUGAAAUGCGUAGAUAUUAGGAGGAACACCAGUGGCGAAGGCGGCUUACUGGACGGCAACUGACGCUGAGGCUCGAAAGCGUGGGGAGCAAACAGGAUUAGAUACCCCAGUA
rnacentral:rRNA from 1 species